rnacentral:lncRNA from 1 species
UGACUAACGGUACGAAUUCUCCAAGAAGUUAGUCCAGGUACGGCACUAGCUUUUUAAUAGGAAAGGGUGUCCUACUACCUUGACAUUAUCUCUUUUCCAGACAAAUAACUUUUCUCUCGAACAAGUCAGAUGUUAGACUGGCGUUGGUCUAUGCGUCUUCUUUUCUAGACAAAUAACCUUUCUCUCGAACAGGUUAGAUGUUAGAAUGGCGUGUUUCUUGUGUUUGAACCGCAAAGAAUGUAGAUUUAAGAUGAAGAGAAUAAUGAUAUAAGCAAUAUACUUGUCUUGAACUCACAAACUCAUAGCUAUAGAUAGUAACUCAUUCGGCUUCCAUAACCCCAACUAAGAGAUUUAGUUACCCAUGAAUGCGAAGGAUAUCACGUUUUGCAUGGUGGAUGGCGUGAAUAGUAGGUGUUUGGCGUGUGGUUUUAGUGAUUCCGUAGCAAGUAACGAUUCUCUUGUUGUGGAAUUUAAGAGUAGAAGAAUGAAG